GACGAACGCUGGCGGUGUGCUUAACACAUGCAAGUCGAACGGAAAGGCCCUAGCUUGCUGGAGUUAUCGGGUGGCGAACGGGUGAGGAACACGUGGGCAAUCUGCCCUGCACUCUGGGAUAAGCCUGGGAAACUGGGUCUAAGACUGGAUAUGACCCUUCCCCUUAUGGGGUUUGGUGGAAAUUUUUUCGUUGUAGGAUGAGCCCGGGGCCUAUCAGCUUGUUGGGGGGGUGAUGGCCUACCAAGUCGAGGCCGGGUAGCCUGCCUGAGAGGGUGAUCGGCCACAUGGGUACUGAGAUACGGCCCAGACUCCUACGGGGGACAGCAGGGGGAAAUAUUGCACAAUGGGAGGGAGCCGGAGGCAAAGGCGCCGCGUGAGGGAAGACGGCUUGCGGGGUAAAAACCUCUUCAAGCUGAGACGCAGCUUAUGUGACGGUACCUGCAGAAGAAGCACCGGCUAACUACGUG
rnacentral:rRNA from 1 species